rnacentral:lncRNA from 1 species
AACAGCUGCUCUGAGUCGUCCUCCAGACAUGAAUUGUAUGACAGUAAGAGGACCAAGAGCAAAUUUUACGAACAGCCUUGGAAUUUACAGUAGUCUCUGUUGAAUCCAAAUGGACCUUUAUGAUUAGAAAACAUCAUCACGACAAUGGUUGCCACUGCAAGCUUAGAGCCAUUAUUCCCAGCCUAAAAGAUUACACAGUUUAGAUACUGCUUCCCAAACACUUAGAUCAUGGAACAGGCACAUUUCCGCAGGCUUCUUCAGUUCAAAUGUCACAGAUUAGAGAGG